UUUUAUGUUGUACUUGUUUCUUGACUGAUGAUGCUUGUGAUUUAUUUUUUCUUAUUCAAUUAUCAUCAUUAAAACCUUUAGAAGACAUUUACCUACACACCACACAAAACCAUAAAAUCUUGGUGUUUUGGCCCCUUGACUCCACCAAAUUUUCUUUUAAGGAGAUUGUUGUUAAGUUUUUUUUCUUUUUUCUUUUGUUUUUGGCUUUGACUUGAUUUAGAAAUUAUUCUCCUGGGUAGAGAUGUUGGAGAUUAUCUAGAUAUUUUUAUAGAUGUUCUCUUUUGGCAUCAAAAUUAAAAAAAUUAUUUGAUCUCACCUGCUUGACAUCUAGAAGAGUAUUCUUGAGUUUUAUGGGGGUUACAACCACUAUUAUGGGUCCAAUUUUUUUGGAUAAUCUUGUAGAUGUAUAGGUUUUUGGGAGUUUCUUAAUGCACCACAUAUGUUACUUAGGAACCACAAGAAAAUACUUAAAUACCUCUAAAUUUCGGAGAUGCAUCUCCGAACGCAUCCAAUUCUCAUUUAACGUUAAAAUAUUCUGGAGAUGCAUCUCUGAAAUAAUUUGGAGCUUAUAUCGCACAAGAACCAUUCUCCUUCCUCAUUUCUGAUAUUUCUCAAAACCUUUUCAAAUUCUCUCAAUUUUUUUUCUCGUCACCAAGUUCAAAAUCAAAUAACCAAGCUCAAAGGAUCUUCAAUCAACAUCAAAAACAUCAUCCAACACUGAAGC
rnacentral:lncRNA from 1 species